GGGACGAACGCUGGCGGCGUGCUUAACACAUGCAAGUCGAACGAGGUCCAACCAGUGGCAACACUGGGGAAGACCGAGUGGCGAACGGGUGAGUAACACGUGAGCAACCUGCCCCGAAGACCGGGAUAACAGCGGGAAACCGCUGCUAAUACCGGAUAUCCCCACCGGACCGCAUGAUCUGGUGAGGAAAUGGAUUCCGCUUCGGGAGGGGCUCGCGGGCUAUCAGCUUGUUGGUGAGGUAACGGCUCACCAAGGCUACGACGGCUAGCUGGUCUGAGAGGACGACCAGCCACACUGGGACUGAGACACGGCCCAGACUCCUACGGGAGGCAGCAGUGGGGAAUCUUGCGCAAUGGGCGAAAGCCUGACGCAGCAACGCCGCGUGGGGGAUGAAGGCCUUCGGUGUAAACCCUUUCAGCAGGACGAAAUUGACGGUACCUGCAGAAGAAGCCCCGGCCAACUACGUGCCAGCACGCCGACGUAAUCGUGAGGCGGCGUGGACGAAGGCGACG
rnacentral:rRNA from 1 species